AUUGAACGCUGGCGGCAGGCUUAACACAUGCAAGUCGAACGAGUGGCGGACGUGUGAUUUAUGCAUGGGAACCUUGCCUAUGGAGGAGUAUAACUACGGGAAACUGUAGCUCAUACCGCGUACACUAGGCUCAGCCCAAGUGGGAUUAGGUAGUUGGUGGGGUACCGGCUCACCAAGGCGACUAUCCCUAGCUGGUCUGAGAGGAUGAACAGCCACACGGGGACUGAGACACGGGCCAGACUCCUACGGGAGGCAGCAGGGGGGAAUAUUGGACAAUGGGCGCAAGCCUGAUGCAGCCAUGCCGCGUGUGUGAAGAAGGCCUUCGGGUUGUAAAGCACUUUCGGCGGGGAGGCGGUACCCGCAGAAUAAGCACCGGCUAACUCCGUGCCAGCAGCCGCGGUAAUUC
rnacentral:rRNA from 1 species